GGAGAGCUGGCCGAGUGGCUGAAGGCGCGCCCCUGCUAAGGGUGUAUCGGUUAAUCCCGAUCGAGGGUUCGAAUCCCUCGCUCUCCGCCA
rnacentral:tRNA from 1 species